rnacentral:rRNA from 1 species
ACUCAAAGGAAUUGACGGGGGCCCGCACAAGCGGUGGAGCAUGUGGUUUAAUUCGAUGCUACGCGAAAAACCUUACCAACCCUUGACAUCUGGGUCGCGCGGAAGAGAGAUCUACCGCUUCAGUUCGGCUGGACCCAAGACAGGUGUUGCAUGGCUGUCGUCAGCUCGUGUCGUGAGAUGUUGGGUUAAGUCCCGCAACGAGCGCAACCCUCAUCCUUAGUUACCAGCACGUUAUGGUGGGCACUCUAAGGAAACUGCCGGCGUUAAGCCGGAGGAAGGUGGGGACGACGUCAAGUCAUCAUGGCCCUUACGGGUUGGGCUACACACGUGCUACAAUGGUGGUGACAAUGGGAAGCAAUACCGCAAGGUGGAGCAAAUCCUAAAAAGCCACCUCAGUUCAGAUUGCACCCUGCAACUCGGGUGCAUGAAGUCGGAAUCGCUAGUAAUCGUGGAUCAGCAUGCCACGGUGAAUACGUUCCCGGGCCUUGUACACACCGCCCGU